rnacentral:rRNA from 1 species
AGCGAACGCUGGCGGCAGGCCUAACACAUGCAAGUCGAACGAAGUCUUCGGACUUAGUGGCGGACGGGCGAGUAACACGUGGGAACGUGCCUUAGGUUCGGAAUAACUCAGGGAAACUCGUGCUAAUACCGAAUGUGCCCUUCGGGGGAAAGAUUUAUCGCCUUUAGAGCGGCCCGCGUCUGAUUAGCUAGUUGGUGAGGUAAAGGCUCACCAAGGCUACGAUCAGUAGCUGGUCUGAGAGGAUGACCAGCCACAUUGGGACUGAGACACGGCCCAAACUCCUACGGGAGGCAGCAGUGGGGAAUCUUGCGCAAUGGGCGAAAGCCUGACGCAGCCAUGCCGCGUGGAUGAUGAAGGUCUUAGGAUUGUAAAAUCCUUUCACCGGUGAAGAUAAUGACUGUAGCCGGAGAAGAAGCCCCGGCUAACUUCGUGCCAGCCGCCGCCGUAAGAC